rnacentral:rRNA from 1 species
UACAGAAGGGGCAAGCGUUGUUCGGAAUUACUGGGCGUAAAGGGCUCGUAGGUGGCCAACUAAGUCAGACGUGAAAUCCCCUCAGCUUAACUGGGGAACUGCGUCUGAUACUGGCGAGCUUGAGUGCAGGAGAGGAACGCGGAAUUCCAGGUGUAGCGGUGAAAUGCGUAGAUAUCUGGAGGAACACCGGUGGCGAAGGCGGCAUCCUGGACCAAUUCUGACGCUGAGGAGCGAAAAGCCAGGGGAGCAAACGGG